rnacentral:rRNA from 1 species
GACGAACGCUGGCGGCGUGCUUAACACAUGCGAGUCGAACGCUGAAGCUCAGCUUGCUGGGUGGAUGAGUGGCGAACGGGUGAGUAACACGUGAGUAACCUGCCCUCUUCUUUGGGAUAACGCCCGGAAACGGGUGCUAAUACUGGAUAUUCACUGAUUCUCGCAUGGGGGUUGGUGGAAAGGUUUUUUCUGGUGGGGGAUGGGCUCGCGGCCUAUCAGCUUGUUGGUGGGGUGAUGGCCUACCAAGGCUUUGACGGGUAGCCGGCCUGAGAGGGUGACCGGUCACAUUGGGACUGAGAUACGGCCCAGACUCCUACGGGAGGCAGCAGUGGGGAAUAUUGCACAAUGGGCGAAAGCCUGAUGCAGCGACGCCGCGUGGGGGAUGGAGGCCUUCGGGUUGUAAACCUCUUUCGCUCAUGGUCAAGCCGCAGCUUUGGGUUGUGGUGAGGGUAGUGGGUAAAGAAGCGCCGGCUAACUACGUG